UUGAGACGUUAAGCUAAAGUAAAAUUAUUUGUGUUGGAAGGAUGUUUAAACAAUUUAUCUUGCAAUUAAAAAAAUUCUAUUGCGAACUAUUUUCAAACGAUCCACGUUUGAAAACAAAUUAUUUAACUCGAUAUUCGUGACGUGAUAAAUAACGAAAUACAUCACGUAUAUUGACAACUCUCGACGACUAUAGUCUUUUAUAGUUGUUCAACCAGUACCAAUAUCCUUACGCAAUAUCUUCUCGCGAACCCGAAUAAUGUCAUCAGAAAAUUAUUUAAAUGAUUUUUGGUAUUUUCUCGUUCCUUUGUUACUAUAUUAAAGACUAACGAUGUCUCAUGAUUUGCAGCAAGUUUGAUUAUUCUAUGCAAAGUUCAGGACUGAAUUUUAAAAUGUAGCUGAGUGACUCAGAUCACUCUAUUCUACUAUAUGCGUAAUAGCGAAACAUCGUUGAGAAUAAUCAUCUGGCAAUGAAUUUCUUUUUCGUAAGUAGACAUUUUAAUGGCAUCUGAAUCUUCACGAAUGAACAGAAAAUAACAAUAAGUGUGUAAUUUAAUAAUAACAUGUAAUUUUUGAUGUGUAAUAAUAACGGUAAUUUAAUGUCGCAAAUUGUUCUCAACAUUUCAGAUGGAGGCAACGAAUCGUCAUUAUCCAAGUUUAACGAUUGCUCGACAUUUCCAAUUUCGUUCGUCACAGAAUUUCCGAUAUAUCGUAAUUUUCAUUAUUUAAUAAGCUAUCCUUUGCUUCUAUCACGCAGAUACCCAUAACUAAUUACUGCGAUGAAUCGAAGCUCAAAGAGCGUUUCUUGUUCUUGCGAAAACAAUUAUAAGUAUGUACACAGAAAGACGCGCAUUUCCUUUGCAGAUUCUUCAUUGCACGAAGAACAGGUAAAAAUAAUGAUGAAGCAGAUACGAAAAAAUGAGAACGACGAUGGAGAAGAAAAGAGUAUACGUAUGGAAGGAAAAAUUUCCGUAAUUCGAAAUACGAGAAAAAGAAUAGGGGAGGUAUACGAUAGUUAAUUAUAACGCAUCGACUGUAACAAAAGAAAAUUCACAGUUACGGAACAUUCUACUCUCGUUGAAUUCGAUAAAUGUGCCUUGUUCAGAACGGAAAGAUCAAGUGACUAGAAACUAGAAACGCUCUAAUUGGAGAUAACCACCAAUCGUUGGUCCACAAAACGACCACGACGCUUCUGAUUAGAGCAUCGCGCAUGGAACGAGUCGCGGAGACUGAAAAUACGAACGACUGGAAAAUUAAAGUAGUUCGAGUUUUGAACGGUGGAAAAGAAAUCGUUCGUGCUUUAUAAAGAAAAUGAAUCUGUGAAAUGUCGAAGGUUUGUCAAUCAAGAUAAUUUUAUAUA